GAGGAACGCUAGCUACAGGCUUAACACAUGCAAGUCGAGGUGCAGCAUCAUCAAAGCUUGCUUUGAUGGAUGGCGACCGGCGCACGGGUGAGUAACACGUAUCCAACCUGCCGACAACACUGGGAUAGCCUUUCGAAAGAAAGAUUAAUACCGGAUGGCAUAAUUAUUCCGCAUGGGAUAAUUAUUAAAGAAUUUCGGUUGUCGAUGGGGAUGCGUUCCAUUAGGCAGUUGGCGGGGUAACGGCCCACCAAACCUACGAUGGAUAGGGGUUCUGAGAGGAAGGUCCCCCACAUUGGAACUGAGACACGGUCCAAACUCCUACGGGAGGCAGCAGUGAGGAAUAUUGGUCAAUGGACGAGAGUCUGAACCAGCCAAGUAGCGUGAAGGAUGACUGCCCUAUGGGUUGUAAACUUCUUUUAUACGGGAAUAAAGUGAGCCACGUGUGGCUUUUUGUAUGUACCGUAUGAAUAAGGAUCGGCUAACCCCGUGCCAGCAGCCGCGGUAAUACGGAGGAUCCGAGCGUUAUCCGGAUUUAUUGGGUUUAAAGGGAGCGUAGGCGGGUUGUUAAGUCAGUUGUGAAAGUUUGCGGCUCAACCGUAAAAUUGCAGUUGAUACUGGCGACCUUGAGUGCAACAGAGGUAGGCGGAAUUCGUGGUGUAGCGGUGAAAUGCUUAGAUAUCACGAAGAACUCCGAUUGCGAAGGCAGCUUACUGGAUUGUAACUGACGCUGAUGCUCGAAAGUGUGGGUAUCAAACAGGAUUAGAUACCCUGGUAGUCCACACAGUAAACGAUGAAUACUCGCUGUUGGCGAUAUACAGUCAGCGGCCAAGCGAAAGCAUUAAGUAUUCCACCUGGGGAGUACGCCGGCAACGGUGAAACUCAAAGGAAUUGACGGGGGCCCGCACAAGCGGAGGAACAUGCGGUUUAAUUCGAUGAUACGCGAGGAACCUUACCCGGGCUUAAAUUGCAACUGACGGAACCGGAAACGGUUCUUUCUUCGGACAGUUGUGAAGGUGCUGCAUGGUUGUCGUCAGCUCGUGCCGUGAGGUGUCGGCUUAAGUGCCAUAACGAGCGCAACCCUUACGGGUAGUUACCAUCAGGUUAUGCUGGGGACUCUACCCGGACUGCCGUCGUAAGAUGUGAGGAAGGUGGGGAUGACGUCAAAUCAGCACGGCCCUUACGUCCGGGGCUACACACGUGUUACAAUGGGGGGUACAGAAGGCAGCUAGCGGGUGACCGUAUGCUAAUCCCAAAAUCCUCUCUCAGUUCGGAUCGAAGUCUGCAACCCGACUUCGUGAAGCUGGAUUCGCUAGUAAUCGCGCAUCAGCCACGGCGCGGUGAAUACGUUCCCGGGCCUUGUACACACCGCCCGUCAAGCCAUGGGAGCCGGGGGGUACCUGAAGUACGUAACCGCAAGGAUCGUCCUAGGGUAAAACUGGUG
rnacentral:rRNA from 1 species